CUGCCUUUGGAAGGGUGCCGUCAGAGCGUGGCUGAGAUUACACGGCCCUGAACUUGAUCUGGAUAAUACCAGCGAAAGGAUCAUGCUCUCCCCCCCU
rnacentral:ncRNA from 1 species